rnacentral:rRNA from 1 species
AGGAUAAACGCUGGCGGCGUGCCUAACACAUGCAAGUCGAACGCGCUUUCGGGCUUCGGUGCGAGAGCGAGUGGCGGACGGGUGAGUAACACAUGGGUACCUACCUUGGAGUGAGGGAUACCGGCGAGAAAUCGCCGACAAUACCGCAUAGGCUGGUCUGUUGAGAGACGGACCAGCAAAGUGACGCGAGUCACGCUGUGAGAUGGGCCUGUGGCCGAUUAGCUAGUUGGGGGGGUAACGGCUUCCCAAGGCGACGAUCGGUAGCUGGUCUGAGAGGACGAUCAGCCACACUGGGAUUGAGAACGGCCCAGACUCCUACGGGGGGCAGCAGUGAGGAAUUUUCCGCAAUGGAGGCAACUCUGACGGAGCAACGCCGCGUGCAGGAGGAAGGUUUUCGGAUCGUAAACUGUCUUUUCGUCGGGGACGAGGCAAGGACGGUACCCGAGGAACGAACGCCCCGGACUAACUACGCGCCAGCAGCCGC